UGAAUACGAGACGCUAAGGCGUCGAAGUAGUGUAUGUCAUACUUCCAAGAAAAGCUUGCACUGUCAUAGAUAAAAAACGCCUGUACCAUAACCGACACAGGUGGGUAGGUAGAGUAUACUAAGGGGCGCGAGAUAACUCUCUCUAAGGAACUCGGCAAAAUAACUCCGUAACUUCGGGAGAAGGAGUGCCUUAUUCGUAAGGUUGCAAUAACAAGAUCCAAGCAACUGUUUAUCAAAAACACAGGUCUCCGCUAAGUCGUAAGACGAUGUAUGGGGGCUGACGCCUGCCCAGUGCCAGAAGGUUAAAGAAGUUGGUUAGCAAUUGCGAAGCUGAUAACUGAAGCCCUGGUGAACGGCGGCCGUAACGAUAACGGUCCUAAGGUAGCGAAAUUCCUUGUCGGGUAAGUUCCGACCCGCACGAAAGGCGUAAUGAUUUGGAUACUGUCUCGGAGAGGGGCUCGGUGAAAUAGACUUGUCUGUGAAGAUGCGGACUACCUGCACCAGGACAGAAAGACCCUAUGAAGCUUUACUGUAACUUGAAAUUGAAAUUGGACUUUAUUCGCGCAGUAUAGGUGGGAGGCGUUGAUUAUAAUCUUGUGGGAUUAUUGGAGCCAUCAGUGAGAUACCACUCUUGUAAUGUUAGAUUUCUAACUUUGAAUCAUUAUCUGGUCAAAGAACAGUUUCAGGCGGGCAGUUUGACUGGGGCGGUCGCCUCCUAAACGGUAACGGAGGCGUACAAAGGUUUCCUCUGAACGGUUAGAAAUCGUAUCUAGAGUGUAAAGGCAUAAGGAAGCUUGACUGUGAGACCUACAAGUCGAGCAGGGACGAAAGUCGGUCUUAGUGAUCUGACGGUACUGAGUGGAAAGGCCGUCACCCAACGGAUAAAAGUUACUCUAGGAUAACAGGCUGAUCUCCCCCAAGAGUUCACAUCGACGGGGAGGUUUGGCACCUCGAUGUCGGCUCAUCGCAUCCUGGGGCGGUAGUACGUCCCAAGGGUUGGGCUGUUCGCCCAUGAAAGCGGUACGCGAGCUGGGUUCAGAACGUCGUGAGACAGUUCGGUCCAUAUCCGGUGUAGGCGUUAGAAUAUUGAGAGGAGCCUUCUUUAGUACGAGAGGACCGAGAAGGACAUACCUCUGGUGUACCAGUUAUCGUGCCAACGGUAAACGCUGGGUAGCUAUGUAUGGAGUGGAUAACCGCUGAAAGCAUCUAAGUGGGAAGCCCACCUCAAGAUAAGUAUUCUC
rnacentral:rRNA from 1 species